rnacentral:rRNA from 1 species
UACAGAGGUCCCAAGCGUUGUUCGGAUUCAUUGGGCGUAAAGGGUGCGUAGGCCGCACGGUAAGUCAGAGGUGAAAUCCCGGAGCUCAACUUCGGAAUUGCCUCCGAUACUGCCGUGCUUGAGGACUGGAGAGGAGUCUGGAAUUCACAGUGGAGCAGUGAAAUGCGUAGAUAUUGUGAGGAACACUAGUGGCGAAGGCGAGACUCUGGACAGUUCCUGACGCUGAGGCACGAAGGCCAGGGGAGCAAACGGG